AGGCAAACAACUACAUCGCAAUUUCUUCUUCAUCUUGCUUCGAUUUGCAACACUUUUCUCCGCCUACCUAUCGAUGCUAACUGGCUCAGAUCCUUGCGACUAAUGAUCUUCCCACUGACUUUGAUCUUCAAUCCUAAUUUCCACUUUUCUCUCUCUGUAGUACAAAAUAGUCGCCAGAGUCGAAAUUCCCAAACCUAAUGUCAUUCGUGUUGUCUUGAUCUUCCAAAGAAAGUACAAAACAAAUCUAGAGAAUUGAGAUUUGAACCCAUAAUUAGAAUAUUCAAAAUUUCGUUUUCCCAUUUCCGUGUAUUUUUGUUCGAUUUCCUUACCCUAUAUUCCUUUUUCUUUCAAUCUUUGUUAGUUUGUUUUAGUACCAAGUUUUCUAAAACAUUUCCAAAGAAUGUGUUGUAUUUUGUUUUGUUGGAUCGUAUCAACACUUCUCUUAACGGUAUUUUCUCUUUUUUGUCGAAGUUAUGUCGUCUAAUAAUCGUAGAUUCCUACAAUUUUCAGUUGAUUAUACGUUUUUUUAUGAUUUUUGGGCAUGUUGAUAGUUUUCUCUCUAGAUUUUGUUCGUUGGCAAAUGUGGAAAUUAUGGAAUAUUUUAGAACUGAGAGGAUUUCAGAGCGAGAUUGUUUGUAGGUUGUUGUAUUGUAUUGAAAGAGGGAGGGAAGAGCCAGGAUAGCUGAAAGGGGCUCUCAUUGAUGCGACUACUACUACAACUUUUGGUGUUGUUUCGAGAACUCACACCUCGAUUUGACGCAAUUCAUAUCAAAUUUGAGCUCAAGUUUUCGCCAAUAUUUGUUUGGAGAGUGUUGCAUUGUUAUGUGAACUCUUAUGAGAAUUUGGUUGGAUAUGGUUAAUGUGUUAAAGUGGUGCCGGGUGAUAAUUUACGAUAGUGAAUCAUUCUUGUAACCGAGAAUCACAGGCUUGAGUUUGUUUGUAUUAUCGGUGUUGGUCCUCUGUUGUUCCUUAGUUUACUUCUCUCUAUUGCAAAUAAUGAUUUGUAAAUAUAGGAUUCUCCUUAAAUUGUUGAACCACUGAAAUGCUUUAAAAGAAACAUGUUGUGGAUGUCUUUGGGUUCCAAUAUACAAAGUAGGGUAGUUUGCCUAUUUAUUAAUGAUCUGUUUCGAUGAUUAAGUAAUUGGGAGUUUAGUUGAACUUGUUUAAUUAAUAAUUGCUAUUGUAUGUACUUUACCUAUAACACUUUUACACAUAUAUUUGUAAAAGAGGAGAACAUGGACAAAGCUUAUGAUUUGAUAAAUAGAAUGGAAAAUUAAAUUAUAUUUCCUAAUGUAAUUACAUAUAAUGAUUUGACAAAGCUCGUGUUUUCUAUAUAGUUGUUUGUAUUCUUACCUCAUUGAUGUUUCAUUUCGUUGUUCCUAUUGAUACGUAAUUUUGCAUUUACUCGAUACACUAUGAUGUGAUUUUUCAAAAUAAACAAGCAACGAUUUCUAAAAUCUAAGUGG
rnacentral:lncRNA from 1 species